GGGGGUUUAGCUCAGCGGCAUAAGCGCCUGCCUUGAAAGCAGGCAGUUGUGAGUUCAAUCCCCA
rnacentral:tRNA from 1 species